AUUGAACGCUGGCGGCAGGCCUAACACAUGCAAGUCGAACGAGUGGCGGACGGGUGAGUAAUGUCUGGGAAACUGCCUGAUGGAGGGGGAUAACUACCGGAAACGGUAGCUAAUACCGCAUACCAUCGGAUGAGCCCAGAUGGGAUUAGCUAGUUGGUGGGGUAAUGGCUCACCAAGGCGACGAUCCCUAGCUGGUCUCAGAGGAUGACCAGCCACACUGGAACUGAGACACGGUCCAGACUCCUACGGGAGGCAGCAGUGGGGAAUAUUGCACAAUGGGCGCAAGCCUGAUGCAGCCAUGCCGCGUGUAUGAAGAAGGCCUUCGGGUUGUAAAGUACUUUAAGCGGGGAGGCGUUACCCGCAGAAGAAGCACCGGCUAACUCCGUGCCAGCAGCGGCGGUAAUUC
rnacentral:rRNA from 1 species